ACUACGGGUGGCUGCAGUGAGGAAUAUUGGUCAAUGGGCGCGAGCCUGAACCAGCCAAGUCGCGUGAGGGAUGACGGUCCUACGGAUUGUAAACCUCUUUUGCCGGGGAGCAAGCGUGCGUUCGUGAACGCGCGUCGAGAGUACCCGGAGAAAAAGCAUCGGCUAACUCCGUCCCAGCAGCCGCGGUAAUACGGGGGCAGCGAGCGUUAUCCGGAUUUAUUGGGGUUAAAGGGUGCGUAGGGGGGAUGACAAGUACGCGGUAAAACUGAGGUGCAUAACUCCGUCGUGCAGUUGAAACUGGCGGUGUUGAGGGGGCGAGAAGUAUGCGGAAUGCGUGGUGUAGCGGUGAAAUGCAUAGAUAUCACGAAGAACUCCGAUUGCGAAGGCAGCAUACCGGCGCCCUACUGACGCUGAGGCACGAAAGCGUGGGUAUCGAACAGGAUUAGAUACCCUUGUAGUC
rnacentral:rRNA from 1 species